AGAGUUUGAUCAUGGCUCAGGACGAACGCUGGCGGCGCGCCUAAAACAUGCAAGUCGAGCGAGAACCAGGACUUCGGUCCUGGGGACAGCGGCGAACGGGUGCGUAACACGUGAGCAACCUGCCCCGAAGACCGGGACAAGCCGGGGAAACCUGGUCUAAUACCGGAUGCCCUCACCGGAUCGCAUGAUCUGGCGAGGAAAUGGAUUCCGCUUCGGGAUGGGCUCGCGGUCUAUCAGCUUGUUGGUGGGGUAACGGCCUACCAAGGCGACGACGGAUAGCUGGUCUGAGAGGACGAUCAGCCACACUGGGACUGAGACACGGCCCAGACUCCUACGGGAGGCAGCAGUUAGGAAUCUUGCGCAAUGGGGGAAACCCUGACGCAGCGACGCCGCGUGCGGGAUGAAGGCCCUCGGGUUGUAAACCGCCUUCAGCAGGGACGAAAUUGACGGUACCUGCAGAAGAAGGCCCGGCCAACUACGUGCCAGCAGCCGCGGUA
rnacentral:rRNA from 1 species